rnacentral:lncRNA from 1 species
CAGAAUUGAUUGAUUGUAAAAUUCAAUUGAACUUUGAGAUUGAGAAGGAUGAACGUUACUGGGAACAGUGAGCUCGGAUAAAUUGGUUGAAAUUUGGGGAUAAGAAUACUGUAUUUUUUCAUAACCAAGCGACGCAGCGUAAAAGAAAAAACGUCAUACACAAACUUAACGAUAAAGGAGGAGGAACAACGGAGAUUAUAAAAGAAAUGGAGGGAAUUGCGCGAUCUUAUUUUCAAAAUUUAUCUUCAACAGAUGGACGAGAAAAUCUUGACCAUUUGUUAUCAAGUAUUGAGAAAUGCAUAUCUGAGGAGGAAAACGAAGAUCUUUUGAGGCCUUAUACGGCAGAGGAGUUUAGAGAGGCGCUUUUUACAAUGGGUCCUACCAAAACACCAGGUGAACAUGGCUUCCCGGCACUAUUUUACCAAAAUUGCUGGCACAUCAUUAGGGAGGACGUCACCAAAUUCUGUUUACAAAUUCUAAAUGAAGGUAUGGAUUUUCAACAAAUUAAUGCGACUCAAAUAAAUUUUAUCCCUAAAAUUGAUAAUCAUACUACUAUGAUGGAUUUCCGUCCUAUCAGUCUGUGCAAUGUGCUUUAUAAAAUUACAGCAAAAACGAUUGCAAAUAGGCAUAGAGGAGUUAUCAAAAAAUGCAUUGAUAGGGCCUAAAGUACGUUUGUACCAGGCAGAUUGAACUCAGACAAUAUUCUACUUGCAUAUGAAAUUCUUCAUACUCUUAAACAAAAGAGAAAUGGGAAAAAAGGUCUUAUGGCAGUCAAGUUGGACAUAAGUAAAGCAUAUGACAGGGUUGAGUGGAAUUUUAUAAAAAAAAUGAUGGCACGAAUGGGGUUUGAUAUGAGAGUGAUCAGAAUUUUGAUGAAAUGUUUGACAACGGUCUCCUACUCAGUAGUUGUAAACGAAUACAUAGGAGAAAGCUUUCAACCAACAAGGGGACUUCGUCAGGUAGAUCCACUUAGCCCGUUUCUUUUUCUCAUUUCUGGGGAAGGGCUGUCAUGUUUAAUGAGAUUAGUAUGCAGGGAAGGACUAGUGAAAAGCGCUAAAGCUAGUAGGAACGGACCACAGGUAUCACAUUUACUGUUUGCUGAUGAUUGUAUCUUAUUUGGUCAAGCAACAAGUAGAGAAGCUAAUUUUUUAAAGGAAAUUUUGGGGGAAUAUAGGAGAUGCUCGGGCCAAUGUGUUAACUUUAAUAAGUCCACUGUCUUUUCUAGCAGUAAUACAAAUGAUGAAGAUAAACGAGAGGUGGUAAACAUUUUGGGGGUGCGUAGUUCAGAAAAUCCGGAGAGGUAUUUGGGGUUACCCAACACAGUUGGAAGAAGGAAAAAAUAAUCUUUUCAGGGCCUAAAAGAUAGAUUUAAGAAACGUAUUGACAAUUGGAGCACCAGGUUUUUGUCUCAGGGCGGGAAAGAAGUGUUUAUUAAAUCAGUCCUUCAAUAUACCAACUUACUUUAUGUCGUGUUUCUUAUUACCCAAGUCUUUAUGUUCAGAAAUGGAAAGCAUUAUAGCUCAAUUUUGGUGGCAAAAGGGGAAUGGAAAACGAGGAAUACAUUAGUGUGCAUGGAAAAAUCUUUGCAUUUUAAAAGAAAAUGGGGGUCUUGGUUUUCGAAACACGAGUCAGUUCAAUAUCGCAUUAUUAGCCAAAUGGGGGUGGCGCCUUAUUAAUUACCUGAAUUCAUUAGUGGCUAGAGUGUUCAAGGCUAAAUACUAUCCAAAUACAGACUUUAACAGCACUCAGUUAGGGAAUAUACCUUUUCUUACCUGGAAGAGUGUGUAGGCUGCUAAGGGAUUGUUAAAUAAUGGACUGUGUUGGAGGGUUGGAAAGGGUGACGGGAUCUCGAUCUGGGAGGAACGUUGGCUACCAGGCAAGGAACCUGAAGAGUGGAAUAGUAGAAACAGAAGUGAAGAGUACAAGUUAGUUUCAGAAUUAAUUGAUCCAAAUACCAGAAUGUGGAAGACAGAUAUUAUCAUGCAAAUCAUGCAAAUUCCUCUUGCGAAAAUUCCUCAUAACGACAUUCAAAUGUGGAAGGGAGAAUCGACCGGAGAAUUCACUGUCAGAAGCGCCUACAAACUAUUACAAGAAGCUAGCAUGGAUCCUAGUUAUUAUUAUUUACAGGCCGACUCAAAGAAUUUGUACAAAAAACUUUGGAAUCUAAGACUACCCUAAAAAAUACUGAUUGCAAUUUAGAGAAUUACAUGGAACUAUAUCCCGAAUUUUGUAAAUCUAAAACAUAAGCGAGUGAUCAAUAGUGCUUUAUUCCCUCGUUGCGGGAAUGGAGAAGAAGACAGUGGGCAUGUCUUUUUGAAUUGCCCUGUUACAGUAGUGAUUUGGAGGAAGUUAGAGGUCUCAUGGGUAGACAGAAUAGUUCAAAAUAUCUGGGAAUGGAUCACCUGGAUCUUUCAAAAUACUGCUAUUCAACAGUGUCGCUUGCUCUGCUGUGGCUUGUGGAUUAUAUGGAGUUCACGAAAUAAGCUUGUACACGAAAGGAAGUUAGAGUCAGAAGAUGAGAUUUUACAGAAUAUUCGAAGAUAUAUGGCUGAGAUUGAAGGAUUAGAAGAAAAGAAACUCACCUCUCCAACGGGGUAUAGAAGCAACACUAUAGAUGUAAACACCAGGGCAACGAUUCAGUUUGACGCUGCACUCGAUAACAGAAACCACAGAUCAGCAUCGGGAUUAGUGGUUUGGCGUCAGACGGGGGAACUCCUUGCAUUUAAGUCAAUGAUCAACUGGAAGGUUUCAUCUCCGUUUGUUGCAGAGGCGUAUGCAGGCUUACAGGCUGUUCAAUUAGGGAUCUCGCUAAAACUUCCCUCAGUAACGGUUAUGGGAUAUUCUCAAACAGUUAUCAAAAAAUGCCAGUCAAAGAACUCGGAUAAAUCAAUCAUCGGUACAAUAAUCAGAGACAUUUAUAGCAGUAUGAACAGGUUUCAAGAAAUAAAAUUCCAGUUUAUUAAAAGAACAGAGAAUGCCUAUGCUCACAACCUGGCAAAGGAGUCUUUGAGAAAGAAUGAGGAAACGUACCAGAGAAGGCCGGAUCUGACUCAACACCAUUCCCAACCGGAGAGAAAAUAGAGGAACAACCCAGAUUGAGAUUUGUUUGGGGUUAAUGAAAUAAAACAGAUAGCUGAAAAUGGUAUAUGGAUAAACUAUUGACAAGCAUAGAGAAGACAGUGAUGUGGAAGGAAAUGGAGUACAGUUGUGUCUUGGGAAUCGGCUAGUUUAAUUUCAACAAGCUUCCUUUUUAUUUGUUUUUCAAUUAAUAGGCAGGUUUUAUUAGAAUUAUUUUAAUUAUUUUUGAAACUAAUGGCUAAAGAAAUAGGCCAAUUAUGGGAUAGGAAGUCUAGAGUGUCAUAGGCCUGAACCAUUAUUAUUAGGUUUUGUAUUUGACUUCUUUAUUUAUUUAAGUCUAG